UGAAUACGAGAUGCUACGGCGUCGAAGCAGUGUAUGUCAGACUUCCAAGAAAAGCUCGCAAUGUCAUAAAUAAAGAAUGCCUGUACCAUAACCGACACAGGUGGGUAGGUAGAGUAUACUAAGGGGCGCGAGAUAACUCUCUCUAAGGAACUCGGCAAAAUAACUCCGUAACUUCGGGAGAAGGAGUGCCUUCUUUAAGAAGGUUGCAAUAACAAGAUCCAAGCAACUGUUUAUCAAAAACACAGGUCUCCGCUAAGUCGUAAGACGAUGUAUGGGGGCUGACGCCUGCCCAGUGCCAGAAGGUUAAAGAAGUUGGUUAGCUUUUGCGAAGCUGAUGACUGAAGCCCUGGUGAACGGCGGCCGUAACUAUAACGGUCCUAAGGUAGCGAAAUUCCUUGUCGGGUAAGUUCCGACCCGCACGAAAGGCGUAAUGAUUUGGAUACUGUCUCGGAGAGGGACUCGGUGAAAUAGACUUGUCUGUGAAGAUGCGGACUACCUGCACCAGGACAGAAAGACCCUAUGAGGCUUUACUGUAACUUGAAAUUGAAAUUGGACUUUAUUUGCGCAGUAUAGGUGGAACGCGUUGAAAGUAAUCUUGCGGGAUUAGUGGAGCCACCAGUGAGAUACCACUCCUAUAAUGUUAGAUUUCUAACUUUGGAUCAUGAUCUGGCCAAAGAACAGUUUCAGGCGGGCAGUUUGACUGGGGCGGUCGCCUCCCAAAUGGUAACGGAGGCGUACAAAGGUUUCCUCUGAACGGGUAGAAAUCGUAUCUAGAGUGUAAAGGCAUAAGGAAGCUUGACUGUGAGACCUACAAGUCGAGCAGGGACGAAAGUCGGUCUUAGUGAUCUGACGGUGCUGAGUGGAAAGGCCGUCACUCAACGGAUAAAAGUUACUCUAAGGGUAACAGGCUGAUCUCCCCCAAGAGUUCACAUCGACGGGGAGGUUUGGCACCUCGAUGUCGGCUCAUCGCAUCCUGGGGCGGUAGUACGUCUCAAGGGUUGGGCUGUUCGCCCAUGAAAGCGGUACGCGAGCUGGGUUCAGAACGUCGUGAGACAGUUCGGUCCAUAUCCGGUGUAGGCGUUAGAAUAUUGAGAGGAGCCUUCUUUAGUACGAGAGGACCGAGAAGGACAUACCUCUGGUGUACCAGUUAUCGUGCCAACGGUAAACGCUGGGUAGCUAUGUAUGGAGAGGAUAACCGCUGAAAGCAUCUAAGUGGGAAGCCCACCUCAAGAUGAGUAUUCCC
rnacentral:rRNA from 1 species